ensembl:snoRNA LOC120093439 small nucleolar RNA SNORA17
CCUGCCCCUAGAGGAGUUACAGGUGUGGUAGCUGCUGGGUCACAUCUGCUUCUGUAGAUGGCAGAGAGAAGAGAGGCUAUGUCUGUGCUCAGUGUUCUGACCUGUGAACAUCUAAAUGGUUAGUAGCUUAACAUU